rnacentral:rRNA from 1 species
AGAGCGAACGCUGGCGGCAGGCCUAACACAUGCAAGUCGAGCGCCCGUAGCAAUACGGGAGCGGCAGACGGGAUAGUAACACGUGGGAACGCGCCCUUCGGUUCGGAAUAACUCAGGGAAACUUGAGCUAAUACCGAAUACGCCCUUACGGGGAAAGAUUUAUUGCCGAAGGAACGGCCCGCGUCCGAUUAGCUAGUUGGUGAGGUAAUGGCUCACCAAGGCUACGAUCGGUAGCUGGUCUGAGAGGAUGACCAGCAUCACUGGGACUGAGACACGGCCCAGACUCCUACGGGAGGCAGCAGUGGGGAAUAUUGGACAAUGGGCGCAAGCCUGAUCCAGCCAUGCCGCGUGGAUGAUGAAGGCCUUAGGGUUGUAAAGUCCGUUUUAACGGGGAAGAUAAUGACGGUACCGUAGAAUAAGCCCCGGCUAACUUCGUGCCAGCAGCCGC